GUGUUCGCGUCGGCAGCACAUAUACUAAAAUUGGAGUGAUCCUGAGAGGAUUAGGAUGGCCCCUGCACCAGGAUGAUGCGCAAAUGUCAUGAAUGACAUGGAAAGUAA
ensembl:snRNA LOC120101966 U6 spliceosomal RNA